rnacentral:rRNA from 1 species
GUAGGUGGCAAGCGUUGUCCGGAAUUAUUGGGCGUAAAGCGCGCGCAGGCGGGUCUUUAAGUCUGAUGUGAAAGCCCACGGCUCAACCGUGGAGGGUCAUUGGAAACUGGAGAACUUGAGUACAGAAGAGGAAAGCGGAAUUCCACGUGUAGCGGUGAAAUGCGUAGAGAUGUGGAGGAACACCAGUGGCGAAGGCGGCUUUCUGGUCUGUAACUGACGCUGAGGCGCGAAAGCGUGGGGAGCAAACAGGGAUUAGAUACCCUGGUAGUCCACGCCGUAAACGAUGAGUGCUAAGCGUUAGGGGGUUUCCGCCCCCUUAGUGCUGCAGCUAACGCAUUAAGCACUCCGCCUGGGGAUACGGCCGCAAGGCUG